rnacentral:lncRNA from 1 species
UUGGUGUCUAAGAAAAGCUAUGGGGUGCCUCCCACCUAUUGAUCUGACCAAUUUGGUCUUAUUGAAUUUUGAACUUAGAUUGAUUAGUGAUGUAGACAUUACAAGGGCCUUCCUUCGAACUUAAUCGAUAGAGUAUGUCAAGAUCUUAGUGAGCUUAUUAUGCUAUCCACAAGGCUUACUAUAGAACUUGAUAUGAUGUUGAUCAAGUAUAUUUUGAUACUUAUGGCAUAUUUUGAAUAAUGUUGCUU